AACGAACGCUGGCGGCAGGCUUAACACAUGCAAGUCGAACGGGUGUAGCAAUACAUCAGUGGCAGACGGGUGAGUAACACGUGGGAACCUUCCUAGGGGUACGGAACAACUCAGGGAAACUUGAGCUAAUACCGUAUACGUCCGUGAGGAGAAAGAUUUAUCGCCCUUAGACGGGCCCGCGUCGGAUUAGCUAGUUGGUGGGGUAACGGCCUACCAAGGCGACGAUCCGUAGCUGAUCUUAGAGGAAGAUCAGCCACACUGGGACUGAGACACGGCCCAGACUCCUACGGGAGGCAGCAGUGGGGAAUCUUGGACAAUGGGCGCAAGCCUGAUCCAGCCAUGCCGCGUGAGUGAAGAAGGUCUUCGGAUUGUAAAGCUCUUUUGCCAGGGACGAUAAUGACGGUACCUGGAGAAUAAGCCCCGGCAAACUUCGUGCCAGCCACCGCAGUAA
rnacentral:rRNA from 1 species